GUCAUAAAUUCAGUGUAAUGAUUUCAUUACAGGAUCAAGUACGAAGAGAAAAUGGGCUGGGAAGAUGAAAACUCAGGUUUAAACACAAUUAUCUGUGAUGAUUUGCAAAUAUGGCAUUUUAAAACUCAGAUGAAAAGCACCAGCUCCUGAAGUCAUUUGAUUACAAGACAAUCUCAGCUUUCACUGCAAACAAAAAAUAUACAGUUACUUGGUAGUAGAGAAAAUCUUGAAAACUUGAAUCCUAAAGACUCAAAGACCAGAAGACAAAGAACAAGACACCAAAAUAGGAUAUUAAUUCAAACUAGCCCAUCAUACGGCACCUCAACUUGUCCCCGUGUUCCAGCCAGCUCAAUCAAGAAAAUGCAUUGGCAGUAUGAAAAUUAAAAAUGUUUGAAAGGAAAAAA